UUUCAGAAAUGUUUACCUGAUCAAGAUUGUCAUUGAAAAUACAUUCAUAUCUCUUCAUGCAUCCAGGUCAUUUCACUGAAUGCAACUCUACCUGGAUGACUGAGUGGUGUGGACUCUUCAUUUCAAACCCUGGCCCUGGCAUAAAGUCCAUUACUGUCUCUUCAGGAAUCCUAACCCUAUUUCAGAAUUCACCUUGCCUGCAUGCCCCACAAGAAACUCCAAAGAAGCUGACUUAACACACAGCUCCAAGGAAAGGUCCUGAAUGGUCUAAUUCCAUCAUGGUUCGCCAUUAUUCUCACCUGUGGUUGGUUAGAAUCUUAUUCAGCCAGUCAGUACGUAAUUACCAGUGUCCUCCCUGAGAGUUAUUGUCCAUCAGAGAGAUUUUUGAGAGAACCUCUGUCUUCUCUUGCUCCUCAUU
rnacentral:lncRNA from 1 species